GCUGGUGUGGCUCAGUGGAUAGAGCGUUGGCCUGUGGACUCAAGGGUCCCAGGUUUGAUUCCGGUCAAGGGCA
rnacentral:tRNA from 1 species